CCCGGAACCGGACCCUUCCCAUUCAAAUUCCAAAUCAUUACUAACAUUUAAUGAGCCGGCCUUGAACACCGUGUAACCGUCAGUAUAAAAGGUAACUUUACCAAUUUUGACAGUUCUACCUGCCCAUUUGAAUUUUGAGCGCCUUCCGAACUCUCUGACUUUCUGAACUUUCUCCUUUCUUCUGCAAUUAAUUAACAAUGGCUUCCCAGGAUUCUGCACAAGGCUCUCCUAUACUGGUAACCCCACUCACAAUCGUUCCACCAAAUCCUACCACUGCUGCUCAUGAAGGAGCCUCGACACUGAACCCAAAGGGGUCGAAAUCUGAUAAGAAUCCUCCCCCAAAAAAUCCCAACACUCCCUCUGAAUACUACAGGAGUACUGAGCGAUUCUCGCAUGCCAAUACUCCCUCGAUCGUCACAGAGGCUGAACUAAAGAGGAUUCGGUCUCGAUAUCACAUCCC
rnacentral:lncRNA from 1 species